rnacentral:tRNA from 1 species
AGUCAAUUAGCUUAUAUAAAGCAUUUACUUUGAAAGUAAAAGAAAGACUACUAAUUUAUUGACUU